UGGGGAAUUUUGGACAAUGGGGGAAACCCUGAUCCAGCCAUCCCGCGUGUUCGAUGAAGGCCUUCGGGUUGUAAAGCACUUUUGGCAGGAAAGAAACGUCAUGGGUUAAUACCCCGUGAAACUGACGGUACCUGCAGAAUAAGCACCGGCUAACUACGUGCCAGCAGCCGCGGUAAUACGUAGGGUGCAAGCGUUAAUCGGAAUUACUGGGCGUAAAGCGUGCGCAGGCGGUUCGGAAAGAAAGAUGUGAAAUCCCAGAGCUCAACUUUGGAACUGCAUUUUUAACUACCGGGCUAGAGUGUGUCAGAGGGAGGGGGAAUGCCGCGUGUAGCAGUGAAAUGCGUAGAUAUGCGGAGGAAAAACGAUGGCGAAGGCAGCCUCCUGGGAUAACACUGACGCUCAUGCACGAAAGCGUGGGGAGCAAACAGG
rnacentral:rRNA from 1 species